GACUACAACCUGUGUUUCAAACACGCAUUGGACUGAGAAGAAACUCCAGAGAAAACAUGGAGAGAAAGAAAAGGGCCGACGACCCGAGUAUCUGACGAGUGUCCGACAUGAAGCUGUUCGACUUUACCUCGGUCAAGUACCGUCAUCAAAAGAAGAGUGCUCCAGUUUACAUGCAGCUGAGGUGAAUUAAAGACUCUAAAUGCCCAAAUAGCCAGAACCGAUUGUGCCUGCCCAGUACCUGGUUGCUCCUGCCUUCCUGGACAUCAAAAGGGUGUUUCAGGAGCCAGAUUCAGGUAAAAGCCCCAAGAAAAGACUGUGCCUGUGUCAGACUGGGGUCCCCGGUUUACCUCACAGUUCUGGAAGGUGUUUCGUUGCCUGAUUGGUGCUACAGCCAGCCUGUCAUCCGGGGUCCAUCCUAAAUCUAAUGGGCAGACCAAGAGCGGCGAGCCAACACCUAAAGACAUCGCUCUGUUGUGUAGUGAAUCAGACCCUCUCUUCCUGCACUUAGUUCCUUCCAUGGAUUGCAUAUGUCUACAACUCUCUACGUGUCUUUUCUACUGGACUCUCACCAUAUGAGUGUUGUUUUGGUGAUCAAAUACCUCUUUCCUGCUCUAAAGGAGGAGUUAAACAUGCCUUCUUCCCAGAUGUUUGCCCACAGGUGUCAUUGUACCUAGAGGAGAGCUCCCAGCCAGUUUCGCAAAGCCAGGGGUGUCAAGCUGGUGCCAUGGAGGGCCAAGAGGCUGCAGGUUUUCACUCCAACCAAAAAAUCCACCAGGUGAUUUCACUGAUUACCUCACCUUAAAGCAGAGAGGAGGAACCAAUCAGUGAAAUCAACUGAUGGAGUUUUUGGUCUGAACGAAAACCUGCAGCCUCUUGGCCCUCCAUAGCACCAGUUCGACGCCACUGUUCUAAGGCUUUGUCCUGGCUCAUUUGGUACCCAAAGUGAGCUCACACACAGUUGCCUGAGGUAAAUUUGGAUAAGUUUGGGCUUUGAAAAUUUUCUCUUGCUACCACCAUCAGAGGAGUAAUGACAGCAACUCUUAGUGAGAUCCACAAGUUUGGGUACACAUCUGACAGAUCCUUUUUCAUGAAUGAAUGCCAGUAGCUCAAGUGCUGCUGUGGUCUUUGAUGGCAAAUCAGGUAAAUUCUUCAACCCUUGGCACCCCUCCAUCUCAGCUUGACCUCCAGUGUUGGCCAAAGCUUCUGGUUGUUGUGUUAGCUCCCCAGAUAACAAAUUUUGGAAGUCUGAGAGCACUCCAAACCUCUGUCCCACAUUUCCCAAGGUCAGGAGUUUUUCCCGAAGGGCUGAGAUGCCCUCCAUUCCUCUCCAUGAACAGCUCUGGUUUCUGUGCUCAGCUUGGUCUACAGUCCUCUUCAUGAGUUUGCUGUUCAGUGUCAUGUAAAAAAUCUUUCCUGUCAGGAGCUCAUGUCAUUGGGUCCUGAAGCACCGCUAGCAAGCUAGUGUAUAAUAUUGUAAUGUGAGGUUUCAAGCUCAAGGCGACAGAAGGUGUAUGUGAGAAAGACAAAUGAUUUAAACAAACAAAAAGAAGAAGGCUGUUAACUGAGUUGUGGCAUAGCUUUUUUAUUAAUGGUAUAUUUUUGCAUAGGGAAACAUACUCACUUCCAGUAAUGAAUUCAUCAGCAUGUGCUGAUAGCAAUGGCUGAAUAUGGUUACAAAGCUGUUAAUACCCCCCACACCAGAUUAAUAACACCAGUUCAUAAACAUGUUAUUAAAAUUGUGCUGGAUUCAAACAGGAACAGAAAUUUCAACUUCUGAUCUACUCAUGGGUUUCCUAAAGAGAACUGUCAGAGUCCAUGUGGAUUCUACUAGUUUUGAUAGCCAUGAGAAGGCAGAACUGUGCCAGUGUUGACAUCAUAUCCUCUCCCUGUGUAAAUGCAGCAUUAGAGGGACAUUUUACAUCAUGUAAAGAAAAGUUCAUUACUGACGUCUGACUCAAUUGAAAGAAAAAAAAAAAGUUAAAGGAAUUAUGGUUAAAGCUUAUGUUGAAGCUGCUGAAAUACAGCCAGAACAGUCCAGACCACCAACUUUUUCCAUGUGGAACAUCAUUACCCAGCAUUAACAUUAGCCCAGGACUAACCUCUACGUUUCAGCUGUAAGAGUGUAAGUCAAGGCUGAUCCAAUGGAACACUCUUAAAAAGAGUGAUUUGUCACUUCCAACACUUCAGUGUGCUUAACUAUGAAUGACAUUCAUUGAUGUAACUUGUCAACAUAUUGUAUGUCAAUAGUAAUGCAUAAUAUCAAACAAGAGGCACUUGAGAUGCCUAAUGUCCCCUAAUGUCGCCAUGAUAUAACGAACAUAGGCAGUUAUGCUAAUUUGAUCACAAAGUUAAUUAAUACAUGAAUGAACAAAUAUUGCUGUCUUAGCUUACUUCUCUUCACAUAACACAUGGGUGGCAUCAGUAUGAAUUCAGUGGGCUCUGUUUUUGUGAAUCGAGGCACAGACACAGGGUGGCGCAAGCUCACUUGGGCUGCACCCAAGGGAAACCGAUGCUCUUGUCUGGGAGGUGCAGUCAGUGCAAAAUAUAUGGUGUUCCAAAUAUGACUGUACCACACCUCAAAUAUGCCAACGGCACAUGAUGUCCCUUUGUAAGGUGAAUUCAUGUUUCAUGUUAUUUUGGAAGACAGCACACAAUAAUAAUAUGCAGUUACAACAACCUUUGUGGUAGUGUUUAAGCCACAUGCGUGACUGUAUAAACUGACAGCUCCCCAUAAUGACCAACUGAAGUAACUAUUUCAACUUCUGGAGAGGAGUGUGGAAAUCUACAUAUUCUUAAUAAAAACACAGACUUCUUUGAUGUCCACCACCAUCAAAUUUAACCCGACCCAAACAGCUUCUGUCCAAACACACCUUGUCUGUGGCAGCUACAGGCCCUCCGCUAACACGAUUAAAAACGACAUGCUUCAGGCAGUGCUAAUUGGAAAGGAGAUGGCACAUGCAGCUGCACCCUAGCAACCUGGCAUUUUUGGGUGAGGAUAUGUAGUGAGGAUUGGUGAUAAUUUGCGCUGUAGGAGCUUGGAAGCUGCGCAGAGUAGCCUAGUGAGUUAUAGUCAGUAAAUAAAUUUGCCAGCAUCAGGCAAGAGCCUGAUCUGCACCAACAGGUGGUUUGAGCAGGCGAAGGGACAAGCAUGUUUCUACUGUGUCGCCCGACUUGUAGUGAUUAUUCCCUCUGGUGUGCUUCCUGCCAAAUCUUGGUGCAAGCAGUGCCAUUGUGAACCAUGAAAUUACCAAACAGGCGGAGGCGGGACCCCCUCUGUGCCCGAUGUAAUUACUUUUUUCCUAGUACAAAAUUACUGUGUUGGAUCACAAAAAUAGAGCCCUGUAUCAUAAAGCAUUAAGGAGAUACACUAUUAUUAAGAAGGGUUUCCAAAUUUAUAUGACAAGGUGCUGCAAAAUGUAAUCGGAUUAACUCUUCUACAGGUUUACCAUGCAGUCAUCUUGAAUGAUCAUGUUUACAAGAAUGCAUAUACUGAUGCCACAAUGGUGUCCUGCAUGUCAUAUACCAUGGUGGUAGGACAUCAAAAUUGUGUUAUUUUACACCGUCAUAAUGCAGCUAAUAUGUUCUUGAAAUGUUGUAACUGUUAUGUUAAUAACCUUAUUUGCCAGAGCUUAGUUUUCUUUGCUGUAUACUAUUAAUAUUUGCUGUUGCAAUGACCCAAUUUCUCUGCUGGGAUCAAGUUUCAUCUUAUUCCAUAUCGACACAAAAUAGAAAAGCUUCUUAUGAAAUU